UACGUAGGGUGCAAGCGUUAUCCGGAAUUAUUGGGCGUAAAGAGCUCGUAGGCGGUUUGUCGCGUCUGCUGUGAAAACUGGGGGCUCAACCCCCAGCCUGCAGUGGGUACGGGCAGACUAGAGUGCGGUAGGGGAGAUUGGAAUUCCUGGUGUAGCGGUGGAAUGCGCAGAUAUCAGGAGGAACACCGAGUGGCGAAGGCAGAUCUCUGGGCCGUAACUGACGCUGGAGGAGCGAAAGCAUGGGGAGCGAACAGG
rnacentral:rRNA from 1 species